AGAAUCAAAGUUGAACAAGAUAUACGGAAGAACUGUUUCACUGGGGGAGAACAAGACAUUGAUAUUUGGGUUAAGAGAAACAAAAGAGGUUAGCUCUAUAAUCAUCUGAGACAUCUGAGCUACUUUCUACAGAAUGGGUUUCAAAUGGGAGAGAAGAAGAGCCCAAUGAUAGAAUUGUGGUCUAAGUGAAUUGAGAUUGCAGAGAUCAAGUUCAGGGAGGCUGAGGCAGCUAUAAUUUUGAGGAGAUAGAGAAGAAAGAAAUUACACAGAGAAAACAAUAAGAGAAAAUUGAAUAGAUUUCCCUUUAAGUUUGUAUUAUUGCAUGUACAGGGCUAUCUCACCCCCUUCUGAACACACACACAAAGGCUAAGCAAAGACUCACCAAAGGUCUGUAAGCUAAACAAUGAACAGAACUUAUACAGGGAUGAGAGGUUUCUAAUUCCACCUAAUGGGUAGAGACACCUUUUUGAAUACCUGUAAUGUUUAGUAGAUAACCUCACAGAAACCUUCCUAGUGAUGAUAAACCAUUAAAGAAAAAAACAAGUGUUGAAGAAAACUGCCAACAGUUUAAUAGACUUAUCAAAAUGUAAUUUAUGUGCUGUGUUCUUUGCUCAUUUAUAUUGUGCAAGUUGGCAGUUAUUCAAAAUGCUUAACAUAGGAUUGCCAUAUAUUUAGCAAUUCCAUAUUUAACUAUACACACAAGAGAAUUGACAACACAUGUCAACUCAAAAAC
rnacentral:lncRNA from 1 species